rnacentral:rRNA from 1 species
GAUGAACGCUGGCGGCGUGCCUAAUACAUGCAAGUCGAGCGAACAGACGAGGAGCUUGCUCCUCUGACGUUAGCGGCGGACGGGUGAGUAACACGUGGAUAACCUACCUAUAAGACUGGGAUAACUUCGGGAAACCGGAGCUAAUACCGGAUAAUAUAUUGAACCGCAUGGUUCAAUAGUGAAAGACGGUUUUGCUGUCACUUAUAGAUGGAUCCGCGCCGCAUUAGCUAGUUGGUAAGGUAACGGCUUACCAAGGCAACGAUGCGUAGCCGACCUGAGAGGGUGGUCGGCCAGACUGGAACUGAGACACGGUCCAGACUCCUACGGGGGGCAGCAGUAGGGAAUCUUCCGCAAUGGGCGAAAGCCUGACGGAGCAACGCCGCGUGAGUGAUGAAGGUCUUCGGAUCGGAAAACUCUGUUAUUAGGGAAGAACAAAUGUGUAAGUAACUAUGCACGUCUUGACGGUACCUAAUCAGAAAGCCACGGCUAACUACGUG